GUACAAUAAAAAGCAGCUAUAGAAGUGUAUUUCUCGACACAUUCUUUACACAGAUCUCCAGUUGUGUCCAGGACGGUUUACAGACAAGGUCCAAGAUGAAGCUUGCAACGAUGAGCCUGUUGUCUAUUGUGUGCCUGCUGGGGGUCAUCCUGGGUAUCCAGGCCAACGGAUACGGCGGAGGCUACACGUAUAUGCCUGUUUCACCCGGCUACUAUGGCGGCGGCGGUGGUGGUUUUGGCAAUGGAGGAUUCCUGGCAUUAAUAGGGGCCCUAUUCAUCAUAAUACUGCUGUUUAGCGGAGGUUUCACUAAUGGUACUUCCGGUCAAGAACUUGAGUUUAUCCAAGGACGCUAAUUGGGAAUGCUGAAAAAAGGUGUAUAAACAUUAUAACGACACGAGAACAACAAUAUAUCAUCAGUACUAGCUGAGGGGAAGCUACCAUAUUUCUUGUACAGUCUUUCUUUUUUGAAAUAAAUGUUAUUUCUGUUGAA